AGUAACGCGUGGGUAACCGUGCCUCAUACAGGGGGAUAACGAUUGGAAACGAUUGCUAAUACCGCAUAAGCGCACAGUACCACAUGGUAUAGUGUGAAAAACUACCGGUGGUAUGAGAUGGACCCGCGUCUGAUUAGCUAGUUGGUGAGGUAACGGCCCACCAAGGCAACGAUCAGUAGCCGACCUGAGAGGGUGACCGGCCACAUUGGGACUGAGACACGGCCCAG
rnacentral:rRNA from 1 species